rnacentral:rRNA from 1 species
GACGAACGCUGGCGGCGUGCUUAACACAUGCAAGUCGAACGGAAAGGCCCUGCUUUUGUGGGGUGCUCGAGUGGCGAACGGGUGAGUAACACGUGAGUAACCUGCCCUUGACUUUGGGAUAACUUCAGGAAACUGGGGCUAAUACCGGAUAGGAGCUCCUGCUGCAUGGUGGGGGUUGGAAAGUUUCGGCGGUUGGAGAUGGACUCGCGGCUUAUCAGCUUGUUGGUGGGGUAGUGGCUUACCAAGGCUUUGACGGGUAGCCGGCCUGAGAGGGAGACCGGCCACAUUGGGACUGAGAUACGGCCCAGACUCCUACGGGAGGCAGCAGUGGGGAAUAUUGCACAAUGGGCGGAAGCCUGAUGCAGCAACGCCGCGUGCGGGAUGACGGCCUUCGGGUUGUAAACCGCUUUCGCCUGUGACGAAGCGUGAGUGACGGUAAUGGGUAAAGAAGCACCGGCUAACUACGUG